UUUCUAUCUAUACUAGUCUGAGUUUACACUUGAAAUAAUUAGCGACGAAAUUAAUUUGUAGCCAAAACCCUUUUAAUUGGCUGCCUAACUUUAAUUAACCGUGCUUGUCCCUUUUAAGUCAGACAUCUCGAGGCCAGCGCCAACGCGUCCAACUACAAUCCACGAUUUACUUCCGAGAGGAAAAAAAUGCAUUCACUAAAUCUACUACCUUCAGAUACUAGAGAUAAAUCAAAUAAGGAGAAACAAAUCACCGAUUGUUGACUUGAAUUUUAUAACCUAUAGAAAGGAGAUAAAAGAUAUGCUGUACAACAAGAGUUUCCUAAGCGAAUACUUUUGUACUUUGACCUAAAGAAAAACAGUUUUGAAAAAAAUACUCGAGCUUAAUGUCGCGGAAUCGAUGUUAUCUGGUCUAGCUGAUAAAAAUUAAGAAGUUUCCAUACUCAUUAUUACUUCUAUGAAAAAAAGAUUCGAAAAUCGAGACAAUUAAAAGAAAAAAUAUAAAAAGUUAAAAUACAACAUUACAGGACUAAAAAGUUGAAUACCAUUCUGCAAACUAAGGUGCGAUAGAUCAUACAGAAGCUUUAUAUUUAAACUAACGUCAGAUCGACAGUAAACAACUAAUAAAAAGAAUUAAUAACAGCAAAAUUGAUCAAUAAUUUAGUUUUGACAGAAGACUUUGUUACGAGCAACGAUACAAAUACUUGACGGUCAUAUUUUUGAUUGCCGUCGUACGAACCGGAGAUAACACCAGUAACAAUAAAAACGAUGAAACUUUAAAAUGACGUCGAGGCUGUUGGCUAAUAUCCAACGUUACAGAUGAACUCUUCCAGUAAAUAAAUGUAUUGACUUUUAUGAAAAGAAAGUGUUAAAAUAUACAAAGAUUUUUCAAUGCAUAACUUAGAAGGAAAUUGGUUCAUUCAGUGCCGGAAAAAACGUUUAAGUUAUUCUAUUAAAAUAAACACGAUUAAUCAAUAAGGAAGUGUUUAUUAUUUUUCAGUGAAAUAUAUUUUACAAUGUCUCGUAACCGAAACAUAUAGAAUCAAUGAACUCGAUUUAACUAUACUUCUUAUUCGUAAAACCAUUUUAACCGAAAUAACAGUUACCGUAUAGAUAUGCAUAGCUUAUAAGCUACGCACAAUAAUAUCUAUUAAUUUUUACUUUAUAAAGUAUAAAUCAACAGAUAUCAUAUCGUCACCUCAAACUAACUUAUAAUUAACUUAUUUAUUGAGCUUAUCAGAACAUAAUAAUUAAGAAAAUUUGUAUUUCCUUCCCCGAAUUUUAUCUAAAUUACUUUAUUCUUUUCAACAUCUUUCUUCCGAAGAUGCCUUUCAUUUUACGAUUAGACUCAUAUAAACAGUUUGCUUAUGGGGCUCUCAAAGUACUAAACCGACUCUGCUGAUAAAAGUAUAAAAGUUGUUAUUUAAAAAUUAAUUUGCCAUUUUUA